GCAAGUCGAACGGUAACUCUUUGGUGCUUGCACCGAAAGACGAGUGGCGAACGGGUGCGUAACGCGUAUGCAAUCUGCCUUUUACUAGGGUAUAGCCCAGAGAAAUUCAGAUUAAUCCCCUAUAACAUCAUUUUUCCGCAUGGUUAAAUGAUUAAAGCUUCGGCGGUAAAAGAUGAGCAUGCGUCCUAUUAGUUCGUAGGUGAGGUAACGGCUCACCUAGACUACGAUAGGUAGGGGCCCUGAGAGGGGGACCCCCCACACUGGUACUGAGACACGGACCAGACUCCUACGGGAGGCAGCAGUGAGGAAUAUUGGACAAUGGACGAAAGUCUGAUCCAGCUAUGCCGCGUGCAGGAUGACGGCCCUACGGGUUGUAAACUGCUUUUAUACAGGAAGAAACACCCCGACGUGUCGGGGCUUGACGGUACUGUAAGAAUAAGGAUCGGCUAACUCCGUGCCAGCAGCCGCGGUAAUACGGAGGAUUCGAGCGUUAUCCGGAAUCAUUGGGUUUAAAGGGUCCGUAGGCGGUUUUUUAAGUCAGAGGUGAAAUCCUGCAGCUCAACUGUAGAAUUGCCUUUGAAACUGAAAGACUUGAGUCAUCGUGAAGUGGUUAGAAUGUGUGGUGUAGCGGUGAAAUGCAUAGAUAUCACACAGAAUACCAAUUGCGAAGGCAGAUCACUAACAAUAUACUGACGCUCAGGGACGAAAGCGUGGGUAGCGAACAGGAUUAGAUACCCUGGUAGUCCACGCCGUAAACGAUGGAUACUAGCUGUAUGUCUACCUCAGGUAGAUGUGU
rnacentral:rRNA from 1 species